rnacentral:rRNA from 1 species
GGCAUUAUACAGCGAAACUGCGAAUGGCUCAUUAUAUAAGUUAUCGUUUAUUUGAUAGCACCUUACUACUUGGAUAACCGUGGUAAUUCUAGAGCUAAUACAUGCUGAAAAUCCCGACUUCGGAAGGGAUGUAUUUAUUAGAUUAAAAACCAAUGCCCUCUGGGCUCUCUGGUGAUUCAUGAUAACUGCCCGAAUCGCAUGGCCUUGCGCCGGCGAUGGUUAAUUCAAAUUUCUCCCCUAUCAACUUUCGAUGUUUGGGUAGUGGCCAAACAUGGUUGCAACGGGUAACGGAGGGUUAGGGCUCCCCCCCAAAGAAAGAGCCUCCGAAACGAAAACGGGAUUUAAGGAAGGCAGCAGGCUCUCAAAUUACCCAAUCCCCAAGCGGGGAGGUAGUGACAAUAAAUACUGAUACAGGGCUCUUUUGGGUCUUGUAAUUGGAAUGAGUACAAUUUAAAUCCCUUAAC